rnacentral:rRNA from 1 species
AAUCAACGCUGGCGGCGUGCCUCAGACAUGCAAGUCGAACGCGAAAGUCCCCUUCGGGGACAAGUAGAGUGGCGCACGGGUGAGUAACACGUAGGUAAUCUACCUUCGGAUGGGGAAUAACAACCGGAAACGGUUGCUAAUACCGCAUAAUGCAGCGGCACCUAAUGGUGACAGUUGUUAAAGCGGGGGAUCGAAAGACCUCGCGUCUGAAGAGGAGCCUGCGGCGGAUUAGCAGUUGGUAAGGUAAUGGCUUACCAAGGCGACGAUCCGUAGCCGGCCUGAGAGGGCGGUCGGCCACACUGACACUGACAUACGGGUCAGACUCCUACGGGAGGCAGCAGUCGGGAAUUUUGGGCAAUGGGCGAAAGCCUGACCCAGCAACGCCGCGUGAAAGGAU